ACUUUCUUUGACAACGUAGAUACUGUCAUUGGGACUAUAGCGAUAAGAUUAGCAUGACCCCUGCACAAGAAUAAUACACAAAUUUGGCAAGCACUCCUUCUUAAU